GAAAUUCCUUAUGUUUUAGUGUCUAAUGUUCACUUUCCCUCCGGCAGGCCAGAGCGGAGCCGGGAAUAACUGGGCCAAGGGCCACUACACAGAGGGAGCCGAGCUGGUCGACUCGGUCCUGGAUGUGGUGAGGAAGGAGUCAGAGAGCUGUGACUGUCUCCAGGGCUUCCAGCUGACCCACUCUCUGGGGGGCGGCACGGGGUCCGGGAUGGGCACCCUGCUCAUCAGCAAGAUCCGGGAAGAGUACCCAGACCGCAUCAUGAACACCUUCAGCGUCAUGCCCUCACCCAAGGUGUCAGACACGGUGGUGGAGCCCUACAACGCCACCCUCUCUGUCCACCAGCUGGUGGAAAACACAGAUGAAACCUACUCCAUUGAUAAUGAGGCCCUGUAUGACAUCUGCUUCCGCACCCUGAAGCUGACCACCCCCACCUACGGGGACCUCAACCACCUGGUGUCGGCCACCAUGAGCGGGGUCACCACCUGCCUGCGCUUCCCGGGCCAGCUGAACGCAGACCUGCGCAAGCUGGCGGUGAACAUGGUGCCCUUCCCCCGCCUGCACUUCUUCAUGCCGGGCUUCGCGCCCCUGACCAGCAGUAUCAGGCGCUCAUGGUGCCCAAGCUCACCCAGCAGAUGACCUGCCCUUGCCUAGCAUCCAUACACUAA